UACGUAGGGGGCAAGCGUUGUCCGGAAUCAUUGGGCGUAAAGAGCGUGUAGGCGGCCAGAUAAGUCCGCUGUGAAAACUCGAGGCUCAACUUCGAGCUGUCGGUGGAAACUAUUUGGCUAGAGUCCGGAAGAGGAGAGUGGAAUUCCUGGUGUAGCGGUGAAAUGCGCAGAUAUCAGGAAGAACACCCGUGGCGAAGGCGGCUCUCUGGUACGGAACUGACGCUGAGACGCGAAAGCGUGGGAGCGAACAGG
rnacentral:rRNA from 1 species